GUAGGUGGCAAGCGUUGCCCGGAAUUAUUGGGCGUAAAGCGCGCGCAGGCGGUCCUUUAAGUCUGAUGUGAAAGCCCACGGGCUCAACCGUGGAGGGUCAUUGGAAACUGGGGGACUUGAGUACAGAAGAGGAAAGCGGAAUUCCAAGUGUAGCGGUGAAAUGCGUAGAGAUUUGGAGGAACACCAGUGGCGAAGGCGGCUUUCUGGUCUGUAACUGACGCUGAGGCGCGAAAGCGUGGGGAGCAAACAGGAUUAGAUACCCUGGUAGUCCACGCCGUAAACGAUGAGUGCUAAGUGUUAGGGGGUCUCCGCCCCUUAGUGCUGCAGCUAACGCAUUAAGCACUCCGCCUGGGGAGUACGGCCGCAAAGGCUG
rnacentral:rRNA from 1 species